rnacentral:rRNA from 1 species
CCCUUAGAUGCUCUGGGCCGCACGCGCGCUACACUGGUCGAUGCAACGAGUUUCUUUCCUUGGCCGACAGGCCUGGGCAAUCUUUGAACAUCGAUCGUGAUCGGGAUAGAUUCUUGUAAUUUUUGAUCUUAAACGAGGAAUUCCUAGUAAACGCAAGUCAUCAGCUUGCAUUGAUUACGUCCCUGCCCUUUGUACACACCGCCCGUCGCACCUACCGAUUGAAUGGUCCGGUGAAAUCUCGGGACGGCGGCUUGGUCGCUUGCGUCCGACUGCUGAAACUUGAUUAAACCAUAUCAUUUAGAGGAAGGUGAANUCGUANCA